CUUGACAUGCCACUAACGAAGCAGAGAUGCAUUAGGUGCCCGAAAGGGAAAGUGGACACAGGUGCUGCAUGGCUGUCGUCAGCUCGUGUCGUGAGAUGUUGGGUUAAGUCCCGCAACGGGCGCAACCCUUGUCUUUAGUUGCUACGCAAGAGCACUCUAGAGAGACUGCCGGUGACAAACCGGAGGAAGGUGGGGAUGACGUCAAGUCCUCAUGGCCCUUAUGGGUAG
rnacentral:rRNA from 1 species